AAAUGCUUCUGGGUCUGCAGAGGAGCAAGCUGCGCUGGCCCACGAGGCCCUUCUCCCCGGGGCAGAUGGAUUUCAGGCGCCCCCCACCCCUUGAGGAGAAUAUCAAGGAAAUGGACAGAAGAGUAUAUUACAACUAUCAUCUCUGCCCUUGGCCUCGUGAGGGUCGCUGGGCUGGGACAAAGUCCUGCCUGGGCAGUUGACAUCAAAAUUCGUCGUGCCUUGCCUGCUUUAUGUGGGCAAAAGGAUGAAAGAAUUGCACUUCUGUUGCGCUUCCACUGCUAGAUCAUAAGCUCCCUGAAAACACGUUGCAUCUGUGUCUCUAGCAACUUCCACAAAUGUUUGGAGAAUAAAUUAAUGUGUGGCAGGGCGCGGUCCCUGUGAACUCUAACUGUGCUCUUUUUCUCUGUGACAGAAAAGGAGACAUUGCAGAGAAUCAACCUGUGCCUGCAGCUAGGGAUUCGUUAAUUACUUUGUUCCCUCUUUUCCUCCCUCCCUCCCUUCCUCCUUUCCUUUCGCUAACAUUUUGAUGGAUACCUCAUGUGUGCUGGAGAUCAGGCGGUGGACCAGGGAUACAAGAAACGAGACUCCUAGCCCUUGAGAUGCUCUUCAUGUGAUGGACAGCCCUGAAACAUCUUUCAUGCAACUCCUCAGGCAGCCCAGAAACAGCCAGGAACCAUUCGCCAGGAGCUGUGGCCAACUUAAUAACUCAUCCUUGUAUUGGUUUCCAUCCUCUGUCCUUCAUCCGUCUUGUCUUUUACUCCUACUUGCUGGAUCACACAUCCCAAUAAAUUUUUGCACUCAAGCGUUUGUCUCAGGAUCUGCUGUCCGGAGGACCAAGACUAAGUUCAAGUCAUAUUUUUUUUUUUUUGAGAUGGAAUCUCACUCUGUUGCCCAGGCUGGAGUGCAGCGGCAUGAUUUUGAUUCACUGCAACGUCCACCUCCCGGGUUCAAGUGAUUGUCCUGCCUCAGCCUCAUGAGUAGCUGGGAUUACAGGUGCACGCCACCACACCUGGCUAAUUUUUGUAUUUUUAGUAGAGACAGGGUUUCACCAUGUUGGUCAGGCUGGUCUCAAACUCCUGGCCUCG
rnacentral:lncRNA from 1 species